rnacentral:rRNA from 1 species
AUAACACUGAGAAAUUGGUACUAAUACCCCGUAACAUCAGAGAGGGCAUCCUUUUUUGGUUUGAAAGUUCCGGCGGUUAUAGAUGGGCAUGCGUUGUAUUAGCUAGUAGGUGAGGUAACGGCUCACCUAGGCGACGAUACAUAGGGGGACUGAGAGGUUAACCCCCCACAUUGGUACUGAGACACGGACCAAACUCCUACGGGAGGCAGCAGUGAGGAAUAUUGGUCAAUGGACGCAAGUCUGAACCAGCCAUGCCGCGUGCAGGAUGACGGCUCUAUGAGUUGUAAACUGCUUUUGUAUAAGGGUAAAAUUGGGUACGUGUACCCAACUGAAAGUACUAUACGAAUAAGGGUCGGCUAACUCCGUG